rnacentral:lncRNA from 1 species
GCAUGGAUAUUUAUGAAAGUGGUUAGUCGUCAAAAUUUUUGAUGGAAGUGAAAACCCAUUUUCCUUAUGGAUUUUUACUUCACAUGAAAUAUGGGAAGUGACUUCCUAUAAAAAGUAUUUUUUUCACUUUCGCUUCUUUAAAAACUCCAACCAAACAAGAGGUACUUUCUCUACUUUCCAGGAAGUAUCUAUUCCCCCCUCCACU